rnacentral:rRNA from 1 species
GACAGAGGAGCCAAGCGUUGUCCGGAUUGACUGGGCGUAAAGCGCACGCAGGCGGUCGCGCGCGUGGGGGGUGAAAUCUGGCCGCUUAACGGCCAGGCGCCAUCCCAUACGGCGCGACUGGAGUGAUGCAGAGGUCGAUGGAAUUGCCGGUGUAGCGGUGAAAUGCGUAGAUAUCGAGAGGAACACCUGCGGCGAAGGCGGGUUGCUGGGCUGAUACUGACGCUGAGGCGCGAAAGCCAGGGGAGCGAACGGG